rnacentral:rRNA from 1 species
AUCUGUGGUCAUACCACCCUGAAUGAGCCCAAUCUCUUCUAUCUUGGAAGCUAAGCAGGGUCGGGCCUGGUUAGUACUUGAUUGGGAGAAAAAUCAUGCCAAUAUAUCUU